UACGUAGGUGACAAGCGUUAUCCGGAUUUAUUGGGCGUAAAGCGCACGCAGGCGGCCUAUCAAGUCUGACGUGAAAUCUCUCGGCUUAACCGGGAGCGGUCGUUGGAAACUGAAGGGCUUGAGGCGAUGAGAGGGGUGUGGAAUUCCCGGUGUAGUGGUGGAAUGCGUAGAUAUCGGGAGGAACACCUGUGGCGAAAGCGGCUCACUGGACCACAACUGACGCUGAUGCGCGAAAGCUAGGGGAGCAAACAGG
rnacentral:rRNA from 1 species